AUUGAACGCUGGCGGCAGGCCUAACACAUGCAAGUCGAACGGUAACAGGAAACAGCUUGCUGUUUCGCUGACGAGUGGCGGACGGGUGAGUAAUGUCUGGGAAACUGCCUGAUGGAGGGGGAUAACUACUGGAAACGGUAGCUAAUACCGCAUAACGUCGCACGACCAAAGUGGGGGACCUUCGGGCCUCACACCAUCGGAUGUGCCCAGAUGGGAUUAGCUAGUAGGUGGGGUAACGGCUCACCUAGGCGACGAUCCCUAGCUGGUCUGAGAGGAUGCCGCGCCACACGGGAACUGAGACACGGUCCAGACUUCUACGGGAGGCAGCAGUGGGGAAUAUUGCACAAUGGGCGUAAGCCUGAUGCAGCCAUGCCGCGUGUAUGAAGAAGGCCUUCGGGUUGUAAAGUACUUUCAGCGGGGAGGAAAGCAUUAAGGUUAAUAACCUUAGUGAUUGACGUUACUCGCAGAAGAAGCACCGGCUAACUCCGUGCCAGCAGCCGCCGUAA
rnacentral:rRNA from 1 species